AUUGAACGCUGGCGGCAUGCUUUACACAUGCAAGUCGAACGGUAACAGGGUGCUUGCACCGCUGACGAGUGGCGAACGGGUGAGUAAUGCGUCGGAACGUGCCGAGUAGUGGGGGAUAACGCAGCGAAAGUUGUGCUAAUACCGCAUACGUACUGAGGUAGAAAGUGGGGGACCUUCGGGCCUCACGCUAUUCGAGCGGCCGACGUCCGAUUAGCUAGUAGGUGAGGUAAAGGCUCACCUAGGCGACGAUCAGUAGCGGGUCUGAGAGGAUGAUCCGCCACACUGGGAGUGAGACACGGCCCAGACUCCUACGGGAGGCAGGUGGGGGGAAUUUUGGACAGUGGGCGAAAGCCUGAUCCAGCGAUGCCGCGUGUCUGAAGAAGGCCUUGGGGUUGUAAAGGACUUUUGUCGGGGAGGAAAUCCCCAGCGUUAAUACCGCGGGGGGAUGACAGUACCUGAAGAAUAAGCACCGGCUAACUACGUGCCAGCCGCCGCCGUAAUAC
rnacentral:rRNA from 1 species